UACGUAGGGUGCGAGCGUUGUCCGGAAUUAUUGGGCGUAAAGAGCUCGUAGGCGGUUUGUCGCGUCGGAUGUGAAAGCCCGGGGCUUAACUCCGGGUCUGCAUUCGAUACGGGCAGGCUAGAGUUCGGUAGGGGAGAUCGGAAUUCCUGGUGUAGCGGUGAAAUGCGCAGAUAUCAGGAGGAACACCGGUGGCGAAGGCGGCGAUCUGGGUAGAUACUGACGCUGAGGUGCGAAAGCGUGGGGAGCAAACAGG
rnacentral:rRNA from 1 species